UACGUAGGGUGCGAGCGUUAAUCGGAAUUACUGGGCGUAAAGUGUGCGCAGGCGGCGCCGCAAGUCGAGUGUGAAAGCCCCGGGCUUAACUUGGGAAUUGCGCUCGAAACUAUGGUGCUGGAGUGUGGCAGAGGAAGGUGGAAUUCCACGUGUAGCGGUGAAAUGCGUAGAGAUGUGGAGGAACACCGAUGGCGAAGGCAGCCUUCUGGGCCAACACUGACGCUCAUGCACGAGAGCGUGGGGAGCAAACAGG
rnacentral:rRNA from 1 species